UACGGGGGGAGCAAGCGUUGUUCGGAUUUACUGGGCGUAAAGGGCGCGUAGGCGGCGCAACAAGUCACUUGUGAAAUCUCCGGGCUUAACCCGGAGCGGUCAAGUGAUACUGUCGUGCUAGAGUGCGGAAGGGGCUACUGGAAUUCUCGGUGUAGCGGUGGAAUGCGCAGAGUAUCGAGGAGGAACACCGGUGGCGAAGGCGGGUCUCUGGGC
rnacentral:rRNA from 1 species